rnacentral:rRNA from 1 species
GACGAACGCUGGCGGCGUGCUUAACACAUGCAAGUCGAACGCUGAAGCUUGGUGCUUGCACUGGGUGGAUGAGUGGCGAACGGGUGAGUAAUACGUGAGUAACCUGCCCUCGACUCUGGGAUAAGCCUGGGAAACUGGGUCUAAUACUGGAUACGACAUGUCACCGCAUGGUGGUGUGUGGAAAGGGUUUUACUGGUUUUGGAUGGGCUCACGGCCUAUCAGCUUGUUGGUGGGGUAAUGGCACACCAAGGCGACGACGGGUAGCCGGCCUGAGAGGGUGACCGGGCAAAGGGGGACGAGGAACCGGCCAAGACCCCAAGGGGGGGAAGGAGGGGGAAAUUUUGCAAAAGGGGGGGAGGCCGGAUGGAGGGACGCCGGGGGGGGAAGGACGGCUUUGGGGUGUGAAACCUCUUUCAGGACGAAAGAAGGGAAAGGGAGGGAACGGGAAAAAAAAGGCCGGGCAAACUAGGG